CACUCUAGGACUGCGCCUAGGCAGCUAGUGUUCGCCACACCUCUAAGUUUCGUCAGCCCCGCCUCUACUCCUGGCGUCUAUGGAUCAGUUGUUCCUAUUGGCUAUAGUCCCCGUCAGUCGCUAUUAGGCGGGCGGUGAUUGGCAAAGGGGUGGGUUCAGCUUCCCGGCGGGGUCUUGCGGAGUUGGCGGAGUCUCCUUAGGGAACUGGGGGGCCGAACUGCGUAGAAGAGGGUGGCGGGGAGGAGAACGCUAAGUGGGAAGCGGAACCUUGGGCCUGGGACCGGUCGCGGCAGAGCCAGGCUAGUGAACCGGAGCAAAGACUUCCGACCCACUCUGCGCUGCAGCGGCACCCUUUUGGGAUUUGAUUUGCAGAAUCUUUGAGCUGGUAACACACACACACACACACACACACACACACACACACACAAUCCCGCGAAGAACGCCUAGCCCUCCUCUGGCACCCCAAGACAAACCCACUCCCUCCUAGGGACACAGCUGGGCGCGUCCACACCCCCGCAUCCCCUACACCAUGUUGUGCGGAAGGACUUCCACUCCCAGCCUGUGUCGUUGAUGUCAGACCCCAGGCCAGCCUCCGGGCGCUGCAGUUCUCCUGGUUAAUGCUGCGGUUGUGGUUAGGGCUUUAGUACUUAAGCCAGCCGCCGCCGCCCCCCACUUCCCCACCCCCGGCCUCAGCGCCCACAGUCUGCAUGUGUGUGCAGUAGCCGGCUGCCCAUCCCGCCGCUCGUGUUCUCCUGGAGCUCUGGAUACCACCGCGGGGCAUUUCUCUGCCUGUGGGAGAAGUGGCCUUGGAGGCAUUGAUAUCAGUGGUUGGAUUUUUCCCGUGGAUCUAUCAAUUCACAAUUCGGAUUUGGAAGAAAGAAGGAAAACAUGACGUCUCCAGCCAAAUUCAAAAAGGAUAAGGAGAUCAUCGCAGAGUACGAUACUCAGGUCAAAGAGAUUAGGGCUCAGCUCACAGAGCAGAUGAAAUGCCUAGAUCAGCAAUGUGAGCUCCGGGUGCAGCUGUUGCAGGACCUGCAGGACUUCUUCCGCAAGAAGGCUGAGAUUGAAAUGGACUACUCUCGAAACCUGGAGAAGCUAGCCGAGCGCUUUCUAGCCAAGACACGAAGCACCAAGGACCAGCAAUUUAAGAAGGACCAGAAUGUUCUUUCUCCAGUCAACUGCUGGAACCUCCUCUUAAACCAAGUGAAGCGGGAGAGCAGGGAUCAUACCACCCUGAGUGACAUCUACCUGAAUAAUAUAAUUCCUCGAUUUGUUCAAGUCAGCGAGGACUCAGGAAGACUCUUUAAAAAGAGUAAAGAAGUUGGCCAGCAACUCCAAGAUGAUUUGAUGAAAGUCCUGAACGAGCUUUACUCGGUCAUGAAGACAUAUCACAUGUACAAUGCCGACAGCAUCAGUGCUCAGAGCAAACUGAAGGAAGCAGAGAAACAAGAAGAGAAGCAAAUUGGCAAAUCAGUAAAGCAAGAGGACCGGCAGACCCCUCGCUCCCCUGACUCCACAGCCAAUGUCCGCAUUGAGGAGAAGCAUGUCCGGAGGAGCUCAGUGAAGAAGAUUGAGAAGAUGAAGGAGAAGCGACAAGCCAAGUACACAGAAAAUAAGCUGAAGGCCAUUAAAGCCCGGAAUGAGUAUUUAUUGGCUUUGGAGGCAACCAAUGCAUCUGUCUUCAAGUACUAUAUCCAUGACCUGUCUGAUAUUAUUGAUCAAUGUUGUGACCUAGGCUACCAUGCUAGCCUGAACCGGGCUCUACGCACUUUCCUAUCUGCUGAAUUAAAUCUGGAACAGUCAAAACAUGAAGGUCUGGAUGCUAUUGAAAAUGCAGUAGAAAACCUAGAUGCCACCAGUGACAAGCAACGGCUCAUGGAGAUGUACAACAAUGUUUUUUGCCCCCCUAUGAAAUUUGAAUUCCAGCCCCACAUGGGAGAUAUGGCCUCUCAACUCUGUGCCCAGCAGCCUGUCCAGAGUGAGCUGGUGCAGAGAUGCCAACAGCUGCAGUCUCGCUUAUCCACUUUGAAGAUUGAGAAUGAAGAGGUGAAAAAGACAAUGGAGGCCACCCUGCAGACCAUUCAAGACAUUGUGACUGUUGAGGAUUUUGAUGUAUCUGACUGCUUCCAGUAUAGCAAUUCCAUGGAGUCUGUCAAAUCAACUGUCUCUGAAACAUUCAUGAGCAAGCCCAGCAUUGCUAAGAGGAGAGCGAACCAGCAAGAGACGGAACAGUUUUAUUUCACGAAAAUGAAGGAGUACUUGGAGGGUAGGAACCUCAUCACAAAGCUACAAGCCAAGCAUGACCUCCUGCAGAAAACCCUGGGAGAAAGUCAGCGGACAGACUGUAGUCUUGCCAGGCGAAGCUCAACUGUGAGGAAACAGGAUUCCAGCCAAGCAAUUCCUCUGGUGGUAGAAAGCUGCAUCCGGUUUAUUAGCAGACAUGGCCUACAACAUGAGGGAAUUUUCCGGGUUUCUGGAUCACAAGUAGAAGUGAACGACAUAAAAAACGCCUUUGAGAGAGGAGAGGAUCCCCUGGCUGGGGACCAGAAUGACCAUGACAUGGACUCUAUAGCUGGUGUCCUCAAGCUUUACUUCCGGGGCCUGGAACACCCGCUCUUCCCUAAAGACAUCUUCCAUGACUUGAUUGCCUGUGUCACAAUGGACAACCUGCAAGAGAGAGCUGUGCAUAUCCGGAAAGUCCUUCUGGUCCUGCCCAAGCCCACUCUGAUUAUCAUGAGAUAUCUCUUUGCCUUCCUCAAUCACUUAUCACAGUUCAGUGAAGAGAACAUGAUGGACCCCUACAACCUUGCCAUCUGCUUCGGGCCCUCACUGAUGUCAGUGCCAGAGGGCCACGACCAGGUGUCCUGUCAAGCCCACGUGAAUGAGCUGAUCAAAACCAUCAUCAUCCAACAUGAGAACAUUUUCCCAAACCCCAGGGAGCUGGAGGGUCCCAUCUACAGCAGAGGAGGAAGCAUGGAGGAUUACUGUGACAGCACUCAUGGAGAGACUACCUCUGCUGAAGACUCCACCCAGGACGUUACAGCGGAGCACCACACAAGCGAUGAUGAAUGUGAGCCCAUAGAAGCCAUUGCCAAGUUUGACUACGUAGGCCGGACAGCCCGAGAACUGUCUUUCAAGAAGGGAGCAUCCCUGCUGCUCUACCAGCGAGCUUCUGAUGACUGGUGGGAGGGCCGGCACAACGGUAUAGAUGGACUCAUCCCCCAUCAGUACAUCGUAGUCCAAGACACGUUGAUAUCCUGAGUCUGCACCUUCCCAGCCUCUCUCGGGCUUGUUCUGCGGGGAAACCCUCCCUGUGUUGAUAACAUCGCAAACCUGGUGGCGGUCUGUGCACGGACAGGACUCUCCCAAAUUUAGCAUUAUGACUUCACCAUGGGAUCCAGAGAAGAUGAGCUGUGGGAGAAAAGGGGCUUUCUUUUUCAUCAGUAGCCAGAGGGGCCAGGAGAGCAAUGGAGAGACCUGAGACCAUCUUGAAUGCUCAGAGCGAGGCUACAUAUGCUACGACAGUGUGGCCAUGUGUCCACACCAUGCCUCAUCGCUGGCAUCUCCCUCCAGAGCCACUUCAGAGCUGCCUGUCAUUACCAGCAGCACUCAGAACUUCAGCAGAUAAACUGCAACCUGAACCUCACCUCCUUCUCCAGGAGGUGGUCCCAUCGUGGCCACCCCACAAAAGCAGCAUGGGCCCAAAGGCAGAUGCUUUGAAUCCAGGUGUCCCCUAGCCAAGCUUUUCUGAGGAGCUGAGAAUCAAAUAGAACUCAGCGAACUAUUUAUUUAUUUAAGUGACCCUUCAAAGGCCCUCAGGUUCCCUUGCCUCUGCUCACAGAGCUAGCCCCAGACAGGGGUCGCUGCUGCCUCUGCGCUGUGUGGGGUUAUGUGUAUGUCCAGGGGGGCCAUCUUGCUGAUUUAACACUGCUUUUUGUGUUGUUUUCCCUUCUCCCUGCCUGCCUGUCCCUUCUACCCCAGCGAGGACGGUGUCGUGGAGAGGUCCAGCCCCAAGUCUGAGAUUGAGGUCAUGUCUGAGCCACCUGAAGAAAAGGUGACAGCCAGAACGGGGGCCAGCUGUCCCAGUGGGGGUCAUGUAGCUGAUAUUUAUCUUGCAAACAUCAACAAGUAAGCGCUGCUUUUCAUUUUCUGCUCCCCUCAAUGACUCACUCAGCCUCACCCCUAGCCUAACCCUUCCCCGCUCUGCUGGAAGCAGGGCUCCAGCUCCCCAGCCUAACAGUCUUCAUGUGUUGUUUGCUGCUGCAAGGCGUGUGGCCAGGCUGAGGAGAGGAGGCCGGUGUGGGUCUGAGGGCAGGCCCCAGCCUCCGACUGUCUGUUGUCAUCCUGUGGUACUCUGUGUGUUCCACAGUGUCUGUCUGCCCAGACUUCCUAGCAGUCUUAGCCAAACCUUCAUCAAAGCUUUGGUCACCUUUGCAACUUGGUUUUGUGCUGUUUCUUCUAUUUCUUAUCAGUGCCUUCACUUUUCCAACUCUUAUUCAAACCGUAUUUGAUAUCUUCUUUGACCCUUGUCUGUCUGCAGAUUCAGAGUCUCAUAUGUCUCUCACCAAGCUAAUGUCCCACCAUGUGGGCUUGUUUAGAUGGCACGUGUCUGUUUCUCCCCAUCCUGCAUUCAUAGCCAUGGAAAAGAGAAGAGCACUGAGCCAAGGGAAGCUUUGUCCUGAACUCCUAAAUCAUCCUGUGAUUUCCCUUCGCUCCCUUUCACACUAGCAGAAAUCACUUUUCAUCUUCUCCUGUUGCUUUAGCACUGUGUAUUAUACUUCCCUGGCAGUCCCUCUGCAGAGUCCCCCCCACCCCCUGUCCGGCAGGCUUACACUCACCCCAGCUUUCAUUGUGGCCAUUAGCAGUAUUCUGAGGUUCUAACUCCAUCCACACCUGCUGGCUAUCUAGAGGGAUUCCUCGUUCGCCUGCCCAUGAGCUGCCGCCUUCCCAAGAGGCACUCAGGCUAUUGGAGAACUAAUCUCAUCUCAAGGGGCCAGACACCAAGUCCUACAGACCUCUUUCCGCCAGACCCUGAACUGUGGCCCAGUGCCAGGAGGAUGACAAGCCCCGGGGCACUCGUGGUGACCGUGGAUUGGAGAUGACGCACAGUUUGUAUUCCUCCUGACUUUGGAGGGGUGAAAUGAUUUGCACUUUGAUACCCUGUUAACCAUAGCCUCUGGACACUGAGACUGGAAGGAGAAUAAAAGAUGCUUAUUGUUGUUAAACUGCAUGAGGUUGCCAGAUCUCUUGGCUUUUUUCCAACCAGACAAUAGAGGGGUUGGGGGACAUGGUUCUUUCCUAUCUCUUUCCCCUCAAGUUCAUCUCGUUUAUUCAGCUCACUUACUAGAAUAGUCAUAAUUUAAUUCAAACCACUAAGCAAGUUGAGAAUUUUAUACUUCCCUCCAUCUACUAGGAGGGCAAGUUAAUAAAAAGUAGCUGCCAGCUAAUCACAUUUUUUUCAAUAUUUACAAGUCUGUGUUAAUUAUGCGUCUACAAUCACAAGGUCAUAAGCCUAUUGAGCCAGAAACCAAGACUGGAUGUUGAAGGGAAAGUUAGGUGUUUAUUUACACACAUUUAUUUUUGUUUUUAUGGUGUUGAGGGACAGAACUGAACAAGUCACAUAUUCAGAUGGAGAACCCCACUGCCAAGCUACAGCUUCAUCCCUGGGUAUUAAGUUUUAAGUCAGCAUAUAUUUGAUGCCACUUAUUACAAAGGAAUGAUAGAGAACAAAGGCUGAAAAUAGUCAAAAGAUAAACAACUGCUAGAACGUUGAGAUGGCUCCCUUGAACUGCUUGCUUGGUGGUAUCAAGAUUCUUCUGAUGAAUUUCCUGGGGCAGACUAUAACCAACCCAUGUCAACCUUUCCUAGGCACCAGCCAAUCAGUGCGUGAGUGACAGACAGCCCCCAUAUGCCUGGCCCUUAGGAGCGAGUAUGCCGUUCUGUCUUCCUGACUAUCUCCACAACAGUCCUCCCAUGCAACUUCAAUUUCCUGAUUGUCUAAAGAACUCUCUCCUCCUGGACCCUCUCAUUUGGUUAACUCCUCCUCACCCUCCAAGACUCACUCUAAGCAUUACUUAUUUGGGGAAGCCUUCCUGACACCCUAAGUUCCUUGAGGCUGAAAAAAAAAGUGCUCUCAUCCUGCGUUCUAGAAUGGCUUGAGUUGUUGGUGCUCAGUGCUAUCCAUGCCUGGUUCCUCCUUCAGGCUGAACUUGUAACCAGCAUCUCUGUCUUCAUGGCCCAAAUAGAGCCUGGGAUGACACACUGCCACAGCCUCCUAAAUCUGCCCUCUCAGCAGUUCUGAUUUGUGAGUCAGCCAUCCUUGAAUGGGAAAAGGAAAUCAGCAGAGUUCUUAGGGUGUGGCAUUUCACUUUAAUUCCACAUCCUAUAUUAACCAUCUGCGUUGUGCCAAGCACCGAUGCUAGUGAUUCAGAGCUCACAGACUGGCAAGGCAAAAGACCAUAUGGAAGGCAACUGAAACACAGUCCCAUGUAAUCACUGAGGGGAUAUGGGAGGGGAAAACCUCUCCAGUCUGUAGUUGGAGGCACUAGUGUCUGGAAAACUUGACAGAGGAGGGCUUAUUUCAGCAGAGCCCUCCUAGACUAAAAAGCAUCCUUUUUCUUGUUGAAAAUGGCUGCCUUCCAAGGCUAGUCCUACCUAGCCAUACAUGCUUAGAGUGGCUGCUGGGCACACCCUGCUGGACCCAGAAAGAUAAAGCAGAUCUCAGCUGUAAGCAGCAUAAGAACUUACUUCAGAUUUGGCCCCCAGUCUUCAGAGUCCUACCCUUACCAUCCAGAGACCCCACCCAGCUCAGCUCAUCUUCCUCAGUAGAUACAAGAUCAGAGCUACCCAGCUGCUAUCUGAACUAGCAGCUAGAUGGCAUCUUAGAUGAGGUCCUUUAAAAUCUGGUUUGAAAAAUGAAAUUAUUCAGCAUCGGACAAUACCCAUAUGACUAGGAUCCUACCACACCAUAUCGUUUGAGAGCCUUUUGUGGUAUGAAAUAAAUUGGCCCAGUGCUGGGUGACAUAGGAGUUGCAUAAAUGUCCUUUCCACCCUAGGAGCAGGCACACAGUGAGCCCUCUGUCUGUGCCAAAAAGCAGUUCCUUGAAAAAUCUUUUCCAUGUCUAUGAAUACGAAACAGCCUCUUACUAGAGCCCAAAUGAUGACAGGCUCAUUAUACAUAGUUGAGCAAACUGGAAACGUUAACUCCUGUUACCAGCAGUUCUCCCCUCCUUGGUGAUGAUGAGACUUUCUUACCUGGGGCCUUGGGCUGCUGUUCAGGCAGGCAGUGGAGUGGGUCUUUUCAUGACUCUUUUCUCCCACUAGAAACUUUCUCUUAAACAGGCAUUUUUUUCUGACAGCAUCUUACAUGUUUAGAACUCAAAGCUCACAGCCACCAAGUAAGUAUGCAUUUCACUCCGCCCAGGUUGGGGGUUGGAAGGGAACCGAUCCAGAGAGAAAACAAGAGAAAGAAAAGCUGGAGAGUUAGUGUAAUCUAUUUGACUCUCUUUAAAAGUCCCAGGUGCCAGCCUCUACCCCCUGUCACAAUCCUAGCUCCCUUGGAGCCAGGGCUCCCUGAUCAGAUGCCAUUUUUGUUUGUUGAAGGCAAAGGAAGCGUCCAGAAUCUGGGAGCAUCAGAAAAGCAUUUCGGAGUGACAGCCAUGGGCUGGGCAGUUCUCUGACUGACUCCUCCUCCCUGGGGGUGGGGGCUAGCUGCCGUCCAUCCUCCCAGCCCAUCAUGAGCCAGAAUCUCCCCAAGGAAGGGCCAGAUAAGUGUUCCAUCAGCGGCCAUGGCAGCCUCAACUCUAUCAGCCGCCACUCAUCCUUGAAGAACCGGAUGGACAGUCCGCAGAUCCGGAAGACCGCUACGGCAGGAAGGUCAAAAAGUUUCAAUAACCAUCGGCCCAUGGACCCUGAAGUCAUUGCACAGGAUAUUGAAGCAACAAUGAACUCUGCCCUGAAUGAGCUUCAAGAGCUAGAGCGGCAGAGCAGUGCUAAGCACACACCUGAUGUGGUUCUGGACACCUUGGAACCACUCAAGACCUCCCCGGUGGUAGCCCCCACAUCUGAGCCCUCCAGCCCUCUGCACACCCAGCUCCUCAAGGACCCUGAGCCUGCCUUCCAGCGCAGCGCUAGUACUGCUGGGGACAUUGCCUGCGCCUUCCGGCCUGUAAAGUCUGUCAAGAUGGCUGCUCCAGUCAAACCACCAGCCACACGGCCCAAGCCAACUGUCUUCCCCAAAACAAACGCCACUAGCCCUGGUGUCAAUUCAUCUGCUUCCCCACAGGCCACUGACAAGUCUUGUACUGUCUAAGGGGUAUAACAUAAUUAUUCUAGACAAGGAGACUGGCCGUUUCUAAAAUCUUCCUAUUUAAGUAGCUUGGGGACUCAGUUGAAAAUUAGGUUCUAAGUUGUUCUUACAGGAAUUAGCCUUCCCAUUACCCAGACCUCGAGAAUGAAGCCCUUGUUACUGCUUUCCCCGUUCUGGUCCUUCCUCCACUCUUUGCUUCCCUCUGUUGUUGGAAUCCAGCCAGCUCCAGUACAUACUGUUCUUAGGUUAGCCAGUGACAGGUUGUCCAUGAUCGGGUUGCUGCGAUAUCUGCCAAGGCAAGACAUAGGGACAUAAGCCUACGUCUGUCCCUUCAGACCAUAGAGGACACCUUGACCAGAUGUUUGGCUGCAGCUCUCAGUGACAUCUUGUUUUUCAGUACUGAUUUAAAAAAUCAUAUAUAGCCCAGUUUUCAUUUUAUAUAAAUAUAUAUAUAUAUAUUUGUGUGUAUGUGCAUGCACAUGCACACCCAUAUACAACACAGGUUUUUCUAGCCUCUCCUGGUCAUAGACCACUCUUUGUUGUGGUGGCAGUUCACACAGAAGCCACCUGGAGUCUCUGUUCUCAUCACAAACUUUGUUCUGUUUGGAACAGAGAAACCUGGCCUUUGAGAUCUCUGUCAUAAACAUUUAGCAGAAUGGGACAGUCCUGUGACCUGCCGUGCGGGUGGGAUUCUGUCUUCUUCCUCUUGCUGUGAGGGAGCCACCGGUUGUUUGCAUUUGCUCUGCUCCAUGCUGUAGAAGUGCAUCCUAGUCUUAUCUCGGAGCUUUGGAAGUUUUUCUGAACAUAGAGACUUUUCUUCCGUUCCUGUCUUUGUCUCUGACACACCAUUUUCCAUGUAAGAUGUUUUCCAAUAUAAGACAGUUCUAUAGCUAGCUCCUUUUAGAGUAAAAAGUCUUAAAGUUUUAUUGUGUUUAUGGCAGAUUUAAAAAGGGUAGGAAAUGAGUCCUUCUUUCUCCCACUAUUUUUGGCAUCUGAUACUUUUAAAAUUUGCCAUUCCAUUAAAAAAAAUUAAGUUGCUCUCUGCUAAUCCAAAAAUUGGGCCCAGAUUAAAACUAUUUCAAGUUCACCUCUUGGCUUAGUUUUGUUAUAAAGCUCUCGGGAUGAACAGGGGCUUGAAAAUCCCUCGAUAAAUUCUAGAAGUGCUGCCUCUUGAAACUGUUUUUUGUUUAUCCAAACAAGGGUGACUAAGGGAACUUUGACCUCCACCAACUCAAAACUGUUUUCCCAAAACCAGAAUCUUAAAAAAGGGAAAAACUGAAUGUGUCACAUUGGGUCCUGCCUUUGACCUUUUUCUACCGUUAGAUGCUCUCCCAACCUACAAGCCUGGUGCUUGAAACACUGGCUCUUUUACAUCGUGCUUCCCCAGGAGCACCAGAGCUAGGAAAUCACACCAUGGGAUCAUGUGUUUCAACAGCUCCCUGCCGCUCAGGCUCAUUCUCUGUUUCCUGGCUUGAAUGCUAUGCUUUUAUUUUAACUGUAUUGUUUUCUAUAGUUCAAGAGAGAUGGGUUUGUCAUUUGGGUUGGAAUCUCUGAGUGUUCUUAGCUUUGGGCUAGAAAUGAUCCUUUUGGACCAACUUGUGAAGCUGGCAGUUGAAUCUGUAGAAAGUGGUGGAUGCCUCUCUCUGAGUGAAGGGAAUGGGGAGCUUGAAGGAGUCACUAACGAGAAGAGUAACUUGCAGCACCAGGAAGACUGCCCCCUGAGCUAGAGCAGAGAGAGCUUGAGUGGUGUGAGUCUGACUGCAUGGGGCACCCCUUGGUCCUUUGGAUGUCUGAUCCUUGCUGUGCUUUUUACUGACCUGGGCUUGUACUGCUCCUGAGCCAAUAGGGGCUUCCAGACCCAAGGAUCCGUUUCCUUGAUGACUAAGAAGCCCCACCCUUCCCUUUUUACAUUCCUCCUAACCUAAGUGAGCAGAGUUUCCACCCUGCCCUACAUCCUCUCUCCAGGCACUACCCUCUAAGAAGGUAAAAGCAAAGGUUCUUGAAGACCAUGCUUUGGGCCUGUACUUUCCUUCUUGCCUUCUCUCUUAAUCCUGUACAUUAUUUGUGUUUUUUCAUCCCUUUGGUCCGAUGUCCAUCUGCUGAUUUGCAUAAUGAACUGGACAGUGUACAAGUGGUUCCCUACUAACCCCAGCUCUGGGAGCCUAGCUGUCUUCCUUAUCUCUGGUGCUUCUGACGCCUGUGAGACGGUCCUGUUAGAAGGAGUAGGAACCAGAAGGAGGAGAGUCCUCCGCAGCAGAGCUCACUUCAACUGGAAUUGAGGUUGCACACUGUGAUUUCACAACCAAAAGCCAAAAGGAGCCGGCCACCCCAGGCCUUAGGCAACCAGCCUUCCUCAAAUAGGCUUGCCUGAAACCAGCAUGAUGUUUCCAAGAGCCCUGCUCUGCCCCUCGUGGCAUGGAUCCUUUCCCUGGUGUGGACUUAAGUCUCUGGGGAAGAAAAGUGGGUGGGGCUACCAGCAUCCCAGUUUGGAAAGUAGAGGAGUUUGCCACCAGCAGCUUAGAAACUGGAAAUGCUGGUCUCUGCCAGCCUCCUCAGGCCACCCUCAUUUAUCCCCAAGGAGAUGAGAAAUCCUUCCAGUACCAGGAUGAACAGACCACUGGAAGGGCUGGUGUGCAUGGACUUCAGUUCAGAAGAGAACUUAGAUCUUCCAGGGAACUGCAGUGUUGUGGCGUCUGAUUUGUAUGUCACAUUUGUGUAAAAUGGUAUGUUCUUUAAAAUGGUGUUGAUAACUGGAAUAUUGUAUGUAUGCUUGAAGAUGCUUUGUGCGAACCUAAGACUCACUCAGCCAAUGCUGGAUUGGGAAAAAUCCAAAGCACAACUUCAAAAUAAAAUACAUUUUUAGGUUUU